rnacentral:rRNA from 1 species
AUGAUUUGUUUUGCUUUGUCGUAUUUGUUUCGAACAUGUGAAUUGUAUCGUAUGAUCUACGUACAUGGAUUGCAUGGAUUCGAGAGCCCGCAUUUGAGGUGUGUGGAUAUACGGCAGCCCAAAACGAGGGGCGGGAGCAUAGAUCCAAACAUCAAACACCUUAUAAGUUCAAAAAAAAAACACCUUCCGUCCUCCCCCGCUCGUGUCGUGUGCCCGCGCACGGUGUUUCUGCCCGCGAACAACGCGAACCUAUCCUUUUCUUUUCUUUCCUUUUUCUUCUCGGCGAACAACACGAAGCUCUAUCCUGUGUUCUGUACCCAUCCAUCCAUCCUUCCUUCCUCCCACACUACAGAAAAGAAAAUUCCAAUCCAAUCCAGGACCGGCUCACCACCUAACGGCAAAAGAAAAGCGCACCCGCAGGAGGCGGACGAAGAGCAAGAAAAAUCAGAAGACGACAAAGACUCUGACCACAAUUCUGAUAACCCAGAUGGCCCCGAUACAUCUUCGUUUAGAGCAUUCAUGAUCUCAUUUUUGUCGCCAUCUAGCUCUUUUAACGAUUCAAGGGAGAUAAUCCCCGAGCAGAGCGAAGAAAUGGGAUACCCAACUUUAACACCAGUUGGGAAGACAAACAAGGGAAAGACAGGCUUGCUAAGCAGAGGGAAGCAUUCCAUUGGAAAAAUCAUUAAUAAAGCGGCUAGGAUGAGCGGUUUCAAACAAAGCUCAGAACCUAAAAUUGACAAAGAGGUGGUAAAUCAUGCUGAAUCAGUUGCACCUGCAUUGGAGCUCGAAGGACCAAAUGAAGUUAAUUCCCUGACCAACAUGCCAGUUAUGUCAGAGCCAUCUGUCCUUUUGUCAGAAACAAUGCGAUCCACUCUUUAUUCCUCUCUUCCUAUUCUGGCCCAAGGAAGGAGCUGGGUUUUGCUAUACAGCACAUUGAGGCAUGGAAUAUCUUUAUCUACUUUAUAUAGAAGGAGUUUGCUGUGCCCUGGUUACUCACUCCUGGUAGUUGGGGACAGAAAGGGGGCGGUUUUUGGUGGUCUAGUUGAGGCUCCAUUACAACCAACUAGCACAAAGAAGUAUCAGGGUACCAAUAACUGCUUUGUUUUCACUAAUUUACACAGCGAUCCUGCUAUAUACUGGCCAACAGGUGCCAAUAAGUAUUAUACUGUGUGCUCUGCUGACUAUUUGGCACUAGGAGGUGGAGGUCAUUUUGCACUUUAUCUAGACUCAGACCUUUUGAGUGGUUCAAGUUCAAAUUCGGAGACUUUUAACAACCAGUGCCUGUCACAUUCUCCAGACUUUGCAGUUAAAGACGUUGAGCUAUGGGGCUUCGUCUAUCCUUCAAGGUACGAAGAGAUGCUCAAGCUCUGCAGUACUGAGAAACCAGGGGUCUGCCGAUUUUGA